UACGUAAGGACCGAGCGUUGUCCGGAAUCAUUGGGCGUAAAGGGUACGUAGGUGGUUAGUAAAGUUAGAAGUGAAAGGCUAGAGCUUAACUAUAGUAAGCUUUUGAAACUGUUUAACUUGAGGGAUGGAAGGGAAAGUGGAAUUCCUAGUGUAGCGGUGAAAUGCGCAGAUAUUAGGAGGAACACCAGUGGCGAAGGCGCCUUUCUAGCCAGUAUCUGACGCUGAGGUACGAAAGCUUGGGUAGCAAACGGG
rnacentral:rRNA from 1 species